CCAUUGAUGCACCUCCAAGAAAUGUUCCUCCCUGUGUUUUCAUGUAUGUGCAGGGUCCUGCCACAGCAGUCAUCACCAGUUGUGGGAAAAAAGUCCUUCCAGGGGUUCUAUAGUGUAUGAAGUCAUCUUGGCAGGACACUGAGUGGAGACUGUCCUAGCUGAUGUCUCAGGAGCAG